UGGGGAAUAUUGGACAAUGGGCGAAAGCCUGAUCCAGCCAUGCCGCGUGUGUGAAGAAGGUCUUCGGAUUGUAAAGCACUUUAAGUUGGGAGGAAGGGCAUUAACCUAAUACGUUAGUGUUUUGACGUUACCGACAGAAUAAGCACCGGCUAACUCUGUGCCAGCAGCCGCGGUAAUACAGAGGGUGCAAGCGUUAAUCGGAAUUACUGGGCGUAAAGCGCGCGUAGGUGGUUUGUUAAGUUGGAUGUGAAAUCCCCGGGCUCAACCUGGGAACUGCAUUCAAAACUGACUGACUAGAGUAUGGUAGAGGGUGGUGGAAUGUCCUGUGUAGCGGUGAAAUGCGUAGAUAUAGGAAGGAACACCAGUGGCGAAGGCGACCACCUGGACUAAUACUGACACUGAGGUGCGAAAGCGUGGGGAGCAAACA
rnacentral:rRNA from 1 species